rnacentral:rRNA from 1 species
GUUGCAGGGUAUAGACCCGAAACCCGGUGAUCUAGCCAUGGGCAGGUUGAAGGUUGGGUAACACUAACUGGAGGACCGAACCGACUAAUGUUGAAAAAUUAGCGGAUGACCUGUGGCUGGGGGUGAAAGGCCAAUCAAACCGGGAGAUAGCUGGUUCUCCCCGAAAGCUAUUUAGGUAGCGCCUCGUGAAUUCAUCUCCGGGGGUAGAGCACUGUUUCGGCUAGGGGGCCAUCCCGGCUUACCAACCCGAUGCAAACUGCGAAUACCGGAGAAUGUUAUCACGGGAGACACACGGCGGGUGCUAACGUCCGUCGUGAAGAGGGAAACAACCCAGACCGCCAGCUAAGGUCCCAAAGUCAUGGUUAAGUGGGAAACGAUGUGGGAAGGCCCAGACAGCCAGGAUGUUGGCUUAGAAGCAGCCAUCAUUUAAAGAAAGCGUAAUAGCUCACUGGUCGAGUCGGCCUGCGCGGAAGAUGUAACGGGGCUAAACCAUGCACCGAAGCUGCGGCAGCGACACUGUGUGUUGUUGGGUAGGGGAGCGUUCUGUAAGCCUGUGAAGGUGUGUCGUGAGGCAUGCUGGAGGUAUCAGAAGUGCGAAUGCUGACAUAAGUAACGAUAAAGCGGGUGAAAAGCCCGCUCGCCGGAAGACCAAGGGUUCCUGUCCAACGUUAAUCGGGGCAGGGUGAGUCGACCCCUAAGGCGAGGCCGAAAGGCGUAGUCGAUGGGAAACGGGUUAAUAUUCCCGUACUUGGUGUUACUGCGAAGGGGGGACGGAGAAGGCUAUGUUGGCCGGGCGACGGUUGUCCCGGUUUAAGCGUGUAGGUGUGUGUUCCAGGUAAAUCCGGUUCACUUUAACACUGAGGCGUGACGACGAGGCACUACGGUGCUGAAGCAACAAAUGCCCUGCUUCCAGGAAAAGCCUCUAAGCAUCAGGUAACAUCAAAUCGUACCCCAAACCGACACAGGUGGUCAGGUAGAGAAUACCAAGGCGCUUGAGAGAACUCGGGUGAAGGAACUAGGCAAAAUGGUGCCGUAACUUCGGGAGAAGGCACGCUGACACGUAGGUGAAGUGAUUUACUCAUGGAGCUGAAGUCAGUCGAAGAUACCAGCUGGCUGCAACUGUUUAUUAAAAACACAGCACUGUGCAAACACGAAAGUGGACGUAUACGGUGUGACGCCUGCCCGGUGCCGGAAGGUUAAUUGAUGGGGUCAGCGCAAGCGAAGCUCCUGAUCGAAGCCCCGGUAAACGGCGGCCGUAACUAUAACGGUCCUAAGGUAGCGAAAUUCCUUGUCGGGUAAGUUCCGACCUGCAC